GCAAGAAGCCACAUGUGGGACUCGAUCCCAGAUCAUGAUCGGAGCCAACCGAAGACACAAGCCACCCAGGAAAACAGCUUCUCAAUGAAAAGCCAUUCCUUGGAAAAGAAUCACCUCCAGCAGGAGAUGGCCUGAAUGAAGAUUGUACUGCCAUUGAAGGGCUGGCUGAUGUCAUAAGCUGCCUUUUUCUGCUUCUGGAAAGCCCUAUCGACACAUCAUCACAUAGGGGUGGACCCCAGCUUGUUACUUAGGUCCCUACUCAAAUGUAACUUGCUCAGAGAAGCCUUCCCUGAGGACUCUCCCUGCCUGCCAGAGAUACUGUGUAUCAUGUUACUAUGAUUAAUUUCUUCAUUACAUCUAUCUCUGCAAUUAUUUGUUUUAUGUAGGUUGAAUUAUUCUUUGUUUACAUGGUGAAUUUCUGUUUUUCUCUCUCUUACAAGGAUGCUCUCUGAGCCCUCAACCUUAUCUGCUUUAUUUAUCAUGGCAGCCCCAUAAUGAAAACAGAUCCAGGCCGAUAGUUCGUGUGCUGAUUGAAUGAAUAAGCCUAUCUCCUAAGCAAUUUCAGCGUGGAAGAGAUUCUCAGUAGUUAGAAGUGAAGGGUGCUGUGUCUGUCAGGGUUCAAUUGCAAAGAAUAGAAUCCAUUUUAGCCCACGUAAGCAGAAAGGGAUUAACUGUAGCAUGUGGUUUAUGGAAUCCCUGAGAGGGCUGAAGAAACAACCUCCAGGUUGGGCUUUCAAGAACAACCUGGAAAGCCACACACUGACUGAGCCCCCAAGGGAGCAUUCAGGAGCGUUCAGGAGCCCUCUCUCCUGCCGGACCAGGAAGCUGAAGUGUCCUCUGCUGGCUCUGAGACCCAACCAUGACUGCCAGGAUCACGAAGUUAGCACGAGAAGGUCAGCACUGUCAGGAGCUGUCAAGAUUGGGAAACUGCCCUGGAAAAACCAGGUACUGUCAUCUCUGCGUUGGCCAAAAGAAAGAGCAAAACGACCAAUGCUUCUGCUUCGGCUUCCCUGAUCUCCUGGCUCUUGUGCUUCUGAUUAGUGAGACAAAUUAAAACUAAAACCCUGGCUGCUGACAGGUCUGGGAGACGUGGAUUUUUGCUCUCCAGUUUCUGCAGCCCAAGAAGGCAUUUUGGGACGCUGAGGGCCGGGCCACCUAGAACACAGGUACGGUGCCACGGAAGGAUGGAGAGAUGAGUGAUAAAAAAGUAAAUGAAUCUUCAAGUUUAUAUCUGCCAGGAAAUAUGUAUUCAUACUAAAAAAACAGCCGAAUAAUCAAGAGUCCCUUGUAGGUAGUACUGAUCAGUAGCAUUUACACGACUUCAGAAAUACUUACUUUUCCCCAAUGAUGCGCAGCAUGUCUGUGACCACGAGUAGCAUCGCGGCCCUGAAGCAGCAGUCUCAGACGAACCAAGCUCCAUAAAACCAUGAUCCGAGAUCUCCUGGAGGUCAGAGCAGUUUAUAGCUUACAGCUCAAAAAGUGUGAGAUUUGUUCAGCCUGAGCACUGACUUUCAUAGCUGGCCAUGUUCAUUUAUUUCUAGUUUAGAGCACUGGUUUAAACGGAAGUCUUAGAAAAGGCUUAAACUGCAUAGAAUCUCGGAUUGGCAAUUUUUAUGUUGGCUAAGCAAAAAAGUCCUUUACUUGAUUUAUUUUUUAUUAUUUGACAUCUAUAAAGUUUUCUUUAUUUGAACAAA